AUCCACCAAGAAGAGUCAUGUUGAUGAUCCCAUUGAUAGUGAGCGAAGAGAGAGUAAAGAAGCUAUGCUUCAUGCAUGAACCUCUUAUGAGAAGUAUGCCUGGGGUCAAGAUGAACUUCAGGUCCAAUAUGCCUCACAUCAUAUCAGUUUUUGGGCCUAACCUAUAUGUUCCACGACAUCGAUAUUCAGAACCUUUCCUUGAAAUCCCUUAUAGAACCUGCCAGUCUAACCAUUUCCAUCAUUUUACUUAGAGCCUCAACUACCACCACAAGGAGGAAAGGAGAUGAAGGAUCCCCUUGCUUAGACCCUGGAACGCCCAAAGUAUCCUUUUGAUGAUGGACCUUUAUGAAAUUACAUCUAAAAACCUAAAACUUUGUUGAAUUUAUGGGCUUUUCAUUUCCCUUUUUAAUCUACUUAUAGAAUUAGCAUCUUUUUGUAAUGUUCCCUCUGUUACAUGUCCUACAUUGCAGUACUACUUUCUAUAUUAAUAGUUGUGAUUAACUAUACAUUUUUAUUGACGGAUGCAGCUGUUUUUUUUUUUUUUUUCUGGCUUGACUUACCCUGGUCUGUCUUGGCUCUUGAUUCAGUUCUAGUUCUGAACUUCUAAAAUAUGGAAGUGAGCUACAGCUCAAGGUUACUGAUGUUUAGCUUUCUCCAAGCACCGAUGAUGUUUUUACUUUUUACUGCAAAAACUAUUGUUCUUUUACCAUUCAUGUAAAGCCUGACGCAGCCAAUAUGUUAUGUACUUCUUGUCUCAGCCAUUGACAAAGGAUGGCGUUAAAAGCUUUAGUGGUCUGGGAGCAACCUUAGUGGAUUCUCUUGAUGCAUUGUACAUUAUGGGUCUACACCAGCAGUUCCAAAAAGCCAGAGAGUGGGUUGCAAAUUCAUUGGAUUUCAACAAGGAUUAUGAGGCUAGCAUUUUUUAGACAACCAUAAGGUUGCAUUAUAUGGUUUGAUU